rnacentral:rRNA from 1 species
AGGGGGGGUUUGAUCCUGGCUCAGAAUGAACGUUGGCGGCGUGGAUUAGGCAUGCAAGUCGGGCGCCCCGCGAGGGGCGUGGCGCAAGGGUGAGUAAGGCGACGGCAACCAACCCCCCGGCUGGGUAUAGCCGCGGGAAACUGCGGGUAAUCCCCAGCGACGUCGCGGCGGUGGCAUCACCGCCCGACCAAAGGUGCGAUUCCGCCGGGGGACGGGCCGUCGUGGUAUCAGCUUGUUGGCGGGGUAACGGCCCACCAAGGCUGGGACGCCUACCGGGCGUGCGAGCGUGGCCCGGCACACUGGGACUGAGACACUGCCCAGACACCUACGGGUGGCUGCAGUCGAGAAUCUUCGACAAUGGGCGCAAGCCUGACCGAGCGACGCCGCGUGGAGGACGACGGCCUUCGGGUUGUAAACUCCUGUCGAGGGGGAACAAGGCCGCGCGAAGAGCGCGGCUUGAGUGAGCCCUGGAGGAAGCACGGGCUAAGUUCGUGCCAGCAGCCGCGGUAAGACGAACCGUGCGAACGUUAUUCGGAAUCACUGGGCUUAAAGCGCGUGUAGGCGGGCCGGCACGUCGGUCGCUGAAAUCCCCCGGCUCAACCGGGGAAGUGGCGCCGAUACGACCGGCCUGGANGGGGGGGUANGGGGGAGCCGGAACUCACGGGUGGAGCGGUGAAAUGCGUUGAGAUCGUGAGGAACGCCCGUGGCGAAAGCGGGCUCCUGGACCCC